rnacentral:lncRNA from 1 species
AAUAGAACUUAGAGCUUAUAAGGACCAUAAUCACUUAUCAUCUUCAACAUCAACACAACUCUCUCCUCUCCCUCACUAACCCUCGGCCGUGAACCCCCUCCCCACACCACCAUUUUCGGUUUCCCUUCAUUCAUUCCAAGAGCUUUCAAAGGUGUAGCAAGGUGUUUAACGAAGCUCGGUGCUCUCGGAACUUAAAGGACCUCACUCGUUUGCUAUUAUCCUCCACAUUUUCAACCUUGUUCUUCCCUAGCUUUAAGCUAGUUGGAACUAGUGGAUCUGGCGGGGUAUGCAUGUAUCAAGCUGCGUUUGAAUAAAAGAUGUUAUCCAGGGUGUUGAGUUUAGAGGGUGUAUUCCUUUCCUGGACGGGAUACAUGAUUCUAAACUCAGGUUUUUAUUUAAGUCUUUUGUGGAGUCUUUAUGAACUUAGUUGAACAUGUCAUGGUUUGUAAUUUAAAUUUGGUAUCGAUGUUUUCAAGACAAGUAUUGUGUCACACCAAAUAA